rnacentral:rRNA from 1 species
AUGCAAGUCGAGCGGUAUAUACUUAAACAAAUCUUCGGAAGAGUGAGAGCAUAGAGAGCGGCGGACGGGUGAGUAACGCGUAGGCAACCUGCCCCAUACAGAGGGAUAGCCUCGGGAAACCGGGAUUAAAACCUCAUAAUGCGAGAGAUUCACAUGGGUCUUUCGCCAAAGAUUUAUCGGUAUGGGAUGGGCCUGCGUCUGAUUAGCUAGUUGGUGGGGUAACGGCUCACCAAGGCAACGAUCAGUAGCCGACCUGAGAGGGUAAUCGGCCACAUUGGAACUGAGACACGGUCCAAACUCCUACGGGAGGCAGCAGUGGGGAAUAUUGCACAAUGGGCGAAAGCCUGAUGCAGCAACGCCGCGUGAGCGAUGAAGGCCUUUGGGUCGUAAAGCUCUGUCCUAGGGGAAGAAUAAAUGACGGUACCCUUGGAGGAAGCCCCGGCUAACUACGUGCCAGCAGCCGCGGUAAUACGUAGGGGGCAAGCGUUAUCCGGAAUUAUUGGGCGUAAAGAGUGCGUAGGUGGUUUUGUAAGCGCGGGGUGAAAGGCAAUAGCUCAACUAUUGUAAGCCCUGCGAACUGUGAGACUUGAGUGCAGGAGAGGAAAGCGGAAUUCCUAGUGUAGCGGUGAAAUGCGUAGAUAUUAGGAGGAACACCAGUGGCGAAGGCGGCUUUCUGGACUGUAACUGACACUGAGGCACGAAAGCGUGG